AAUACGAUGAAAAUACGUUAUAUCGAGAUUGUACAAAUGUACUUCAUUAUUGGCGCCUAUAUAUUUUCCUCUAUACUCAGUUUACUCUUACUCUCAAAUGCAAACAGACUACUUAGAAUAAAUACUUAUAAUUUUGUUAAAAACGUGAAACUACGGAAAAGUAAGAUCCAAAAACUACAACCCAAAUUCCACAUUCUAAAACUUCAAGCAAGGACUUCAAGGACGUCAAAAAAUGAUUCAAACAUGACUAAGGAUGGAUAUGACAUGGAGUAAAGAAACAUAAUGGCUUAAGGUCACUGCGAUCAUAGUGUGCUUCACAAUUCUGAUGGUCCUUGUGCUUAAUUAAAAAAUACAUAAUACAUUUAUUUUCUAAAAAAGAUCAUUUGAGAAAAGUAAGAUAUUUAAUAUCCAAAAA
rnacentral:lncRNA from 1 species